GACGGAGGGUGCAAGCGUUGUUCGGAUUGACUGGGCGUAAAGGGCGUGUAGGCGGUUGCCCAAGUCCGAUGUGAAAGCCCGAGGCCUACCCUCGGAAGUGCAUCGGAAACUAGGCAGCUGGAGCGCGAUAGAGGAGGGUAGAAUUCCUGGAGUAGCGGUGAAAUGCGUAGAUAUCAGGAGGAAUACCGGCGGCGAAGGCGGCCCUCUGGAUCGUUGCUGACGCUGAGACGCGAAAGCGUGGGGAGCAAACAGG
rnacentral:rRNA from 1 species